CAAAUACAAAUGGGGGACAUUGAGCCUAAAUCUCUGGUUACAAUUAGCAUUUAGAGAACAUUCCGAAAUGAUAUCAGGAGUCUUUACAAAAUACAUGUAUUCUAAAUUUCUAACAAUCACUAAUUAGCAAAUAGUGCUCUACAGACUACUCCAUUUGCUUUGAAAUAACAGUGACAUAUCGGAAAGAUAACUCAAUUACAAUGAAGCAUAAUUACCAAAAUCACAGGUUUCCUACUAUGUUGCCGCCGGAGAAUAAAUCCGACGACCCACUUGGUUUCAUCCUGUCACUAGGAGGUUGCGACCAUUUAACUAUGAAUCGUCGCCUCGCUAGGCCAGAUAAGGCACUUAGAGUGCACACACAGACACAAGGCCCGACUAGCCCUACAGAACCUAUGCUUGAGGGACUUAUUACUCGCCUAAGGCGCAAUUGAACUAAAAAAUAAAAAUAAAUAGCAACAACUAGAAAAAUAAAAUUAGGCCAAACUGGGCCUAAUCUGCAAAGACCAAACCCAUCACCGUGGUAUCACCAGUGCAGUCGCACAUCCUCCAGACCACCACCGCCCCUGGCAGUUGACCUCUGUCGUGUCGCCACCGUCGCCCCACCCAUGAUCUCUGCUCCUCAACCCAUAACUUGCAUCUGGAUUGCACGCUCAAGUGCUCAACCACCUAUCGAACAACGAAGGCCAUAAGCCCGCCUUUCCAUCUCCGCCACAGCACCCAGCGCCAGCAAUCUCAUGCAGAUCCGCCCACCCUCCAUCACCAAACCAACCAAAUCGGAACCUGCGACCCAAACUAGAUCAACCAAAACCAUCUGCCAAACAAACCACCACCACUUGCCGAUAGUUGCUACUAUUGCCCCUGCCCCCAGCCAUCUAACCGAAACUAUGCUUACACGUCGAAGAUGGACGGCAAGAUAGGAGGUCACCCGUCCGACAACAACGCCGCAAGGACGUGCCGCCGGACGAGCCCAAGAAAAUUUUCGAGAAAACCCUAGGCGCGUGCGGCGCGUUCUAGGAAAUUUAUUGUUAGACUAAAAUUUAUUUUUCCUCAUAUUUCUUUUUAUAUGAAAUUUUCUCUAUGGUUCAAUUGUUAGCUAAUUAAAUUGUUGGUUUUUAAGGUAUUCAAAGGUCUUUGGUAUUUCUUUUCUAUCCAACGGAUGAUAUAUUGCUGGCAGUCUGCUUGCCACACGCUAAGUGAUCAUAAUGACUGUAAACCUAGUGCGUUCGAGUGUCACAGUCAACCUACUAUCAAAAGCAGAACAUUGGCAUAUGAUUUGUGUCCGAUAAACCCACAAAAUACAACACUCUUUGAUUUCGGUAUAUUCAUUGAUGUCCUUCAACCUAGAAUUGCUGGAUCAACAGAUUAUCCACAAAAGUUAACAAAUUGUUUGUUGUGGGCCCUGCGAAAUCUGAGUUCAUUUGGUUCAAACCUCCAGCCUAGUAUCAAUACAUGGGAAAAUAUUUUUGCAACUUCUAUUUCUAUCAUUGGCUUGCUCCUAUUCUUAUAUCUCAUUGGAAAAUUACAGAUAUAUAUGGGAUCGGAAACAUCAAGCAAAGAGGAAGAAAGAUGGAAGAAAAAAUUUCAAAAGAUGAGGAGCAUUAAACUAACGGUUAAAUUAGUAAGAAAAGAAAAAAGAACGCGCCUCACGCGCGAGAAAGAAGAGGAAAGUGUGAGCUCGAUCUCUCCCGGCCGAACGCCGGCGGUGCUCUUGCCGCUGCGUUUCCGGUCCGGGAGAGGAUGUUGGUUUGGGAGUUCAGUGGGGCUAAGGAGUUGAAGGGCGGUCCAGGGUGGGAGGAGGCUGUUUCGAUCUGGGUUCAGGUGGAGCUGGGUUCGAUCUGGGUUUGGGGUUGGACGGGGGUCUGCAGGUGCGAUUCCGUGUUGUUUCUGGGGCAGUUGGAGUGGCUCUGGGACACGGAUGGCCGGCAGCGAACCGUGGAGGCUCUGCGGCAACUGGGGGCUGGGGGACGGUCGCUGAGAUCUCGAUCUGGUCGGUUCUGGAUCGGGUUUCGGGCACCAAUCAGGUUGAAGAAGGGCCUGCACAGUGUCGUGGUGAUGCGGCGGUGCAGGGUUGCUGUGCGGCGGCGUCGUGCUACUUGGGGGCGGUCUGGUGCCGGCGUUGGCAGAUCGAUGCUUGCUUGGUGGGCGUCUGCUUUGGGCCUAUGGGAGAGAUGGUGGAUGGGCCGGGCUUCGGCUGUUUGGCUUUGCUGCUGUUUUUUAUUUUAUACUUGUUUGUUUGUUCUUCUUUCAGUUGUUGCUUUGUCGGUAAUAACCUCCAACCGUGUUCCGGUAGGAGGCAGUGGCCUGUGUGCCAGUCUUUGCACCUUGUGUGCCUACUUUGCUCUAGGUAGGCGGCGAGUUCCUUGCACUUGCAAAUGGUCGCUGCCUCUUAGUAGCAGAGGGAAUUUAAGUGUCACUGGAUGUAGUGUCCGAUGGCAUCAUAAUUGGAAAGCUGUGUA